rnacentral:tRNA from 1 species
GGGCCCUUAGCUCAGCUGGUUAGAGCAGCGGACUCAUAAUCCGACGCGCGUGGGUUCAAGUCCCACAGGGCCCA